rnacentral:lncRNA from 1 species
GAGGGACUGAUAGAGAGAACUGAACGAAUGAAGAAGACUAUGGCAUCACAAGUGUCAAUCCGGAGGAUAAAAGACUAUGAUGCCAACUUUAAAAUAAAGGACUUCCCUGAAAAAGCUAAGGAUAUCUUUAUUGAAGCUCACCUUUGUCUAAAUAAGUAAGUGAACUCCCUAUCUUUACCCAUUCUGUUCUCAGCAGUUAGCUAUUAUUUUAGGCACAGUUUUUUUGUUUGUUUGUUUUUGUUUUGCACAAAUUUGUUUUCUGCCUUCAGGUAAGAGAUCUAGAGUGAGAGAACUUCCUAUAUUGGAAGUAAUUAGUGACUGACGCUGUCUUUCACUCCCCUCUCUGCUUCUGGGAAUUUCUACCAUUUGGUCUGUCUCAGUUCCACCUGCAAGUGUUGGGACCUUGUGCCAGAAUAGCUGCCUUUUUCACCCUAUCUGAUCCCUGAAUUCAUUCUGAUCUUUUUUGUGUGUUUGUCUUACGUAUCUUCAUUUCCCUUUCCUUGGUUAUUUUGAAUAUAUUU